UUUCUAUAUUUCAUUAAAAAUGAUAAAACAUGAAACCUCAAAUGCAAAACAUUUUGAUUCAGGAUGGCAUGAUGUUUCCUGGAGUUAUAGUCUGCUUACUUUGUGAUCUAAUUCUCCUCUAUAGAACAGAUCUUCUGGCUAAGCUACAUAUUUUUGGAAUAUGGAAGGUAUCAUGAAAUUUGCAAUGCAGACAGAGAACACAGAAUAUAAGGUGUUGGAUCUACACCUGCCAUUAGGAAUCAGUAUUCUCAGUAUUCCACCUUCUGUGCUCUGCUGAAAAGGGCAAAGGUAUGUCUGUGCCCACCUGAGACCUGCGCUGGCGUGUAUUUAGAUGCCUCUCUGUUUUCAAGCUGCCCACAAGUUGUCAAGGAUGAAACACUAUCUGUAUUAAUGAAUGGAGAAGGAGCGGAAGCAAUGUUUAGGAUCCAGAUGUUCAGAUUUGUUGGUGUCUCUUACAACUACGUUUUCCUACACUGCAAAAAGUCCAGAUUUGUCACAAUACUGCAGCUGUCUGCAAGCCUGACCUAA
rnacentral:lncRNA from 1 species